GUCCGAGACGACAUGGACGAAGGUGGGAGGCUCCCAACGCAUCCCCGCCGACCUCAACGCCGACGGUCCUUUCCUAACCCGCAGCCCCCGGCCACAGUCUCUCUCUUCCGGUCCAGUGGGGGCUGCUAGCUUCCAGUACCUAACUUGACUGAGUCUGGGAACUAGGCAACUAUACCACUGCCUUAGAGAUCUGUACAGCAGCACCAACAAAGCCUUUUAGUCCCAAGAAUAUUGGAGAUGUGCCUUCAACACUCUAGGGCUCGAUUGCCUCCAGAUAAGCAACUUGCUGCAGAAAAAAGUUUUGCCUUGUAUUGCAAGCCAGUUGAAUUGUACAAUAUUAUCCAGAGGCGAGCUAUUAAAAAUCCACCUUUUGUUCAAAGAUCCCUUCUAUAUAAGAUACAGGCAAGGAGAAAAAAGAGGCUCCAACCGCGCCUCCUCAAGUUACUUCGCAGCAAUGCCUUCAAGGCGAAGCCCGCGCUCAUCACCCUCAUCGGCGCCUGCGCGGCCAUGGGCGCCAAUGCCGAAGUCACCGCCUCCAUCACGUGCCUCCGCGAUGCAAUCGCUAGCGAUGACUGGGCAGCGAGGAAGGCCGCGGCGGAGGCGCUUGCUGCAUUGGCCCUAGAGCACACGGAUCUUCUCACGACCUACAAAUCCUCUUGCGUCACCUUCUUCGAGGCCAGAAGGUUUGACAAGGUCAAGGUUGUGCAAGAGUCGAUGAACCAGAUGAUUGAGGCGGGGAAGGAGAUCCCAGGUGCUGAAGAGGACGAGUGCUCCUCGCUCUGCCACCAGCGUCCCAGUCACAACGAAGAUCUUCUCUUACAGGGAGUGCAAGUGAUGGGCGAUAUCCAGCUGCUUCGCUGGGCUCAAACUCAGUUCCUUUAGCAACAAGGAAGAGCAUAUUAUCUGUAAGCAGAUCAUCUCUGUCUGACGUGUCUACCAGUGUAAUUUUCUGGACCUUCUCCAGGUAAUUUUCCUUUAGUGUGUUUAUUGUUACUGUAUAUUUUUACAGUUCUCUUGCGAGACGUAGUAGUAUAGGGCUUGUAGUCGUUACCUUUUCUUCCAGAAAUAAGUAAUCAUUAACUUCUCUGCUGAUUACUAAACACAAGAGAAAACAUUCUGUAACUGUAAGUCCACGUUGGAAGUGGAAGUAGUUAGUUUUUGGAUACUUGGUUGCAACUUGAGCUGUGGCUUCAAUGCUGGAGCAGAUUAUCUGGUGAAGCUGAGGUUGUUUUGAGAAAACGUUUGGUUGAACAGCUUCUGAUAUCUCUUAUAAAUAGCUGAGAGGGGCAAUGUCCAAGAUGCCCUUGGGUAUUGUAAAAUUUGAUUAUAUGGUUGCAGAUGUUCUUUUAUAUUUGAGUACUUUUCAAAUUUUAAAAUAAAAAUUAUCAACAACCAAUAACUUUGCCAAGAAACGAGCAGAUAAGGAAUUGGGGUUAUGGCGGAUUCUUUCUAAUUUCUUGUGAACUUUAGGGGUGAAAAUGUACUUUGUGUGGUGGGCCGUGGGCCUGUCCAUGUAGCGCGUGGAAGCUCCUUUUUCCAACUCCACCAUGCACCUGUCCCUCGUGAAAGCGCACUUUAUGGUUUAUGGAGCUCCAUGAAUGGAGCUGCUACAGCAGCACCUUCUUGGUACAAGGAGCUAAAAACAGCUCCAGGAGCUGUAAUGGAAUCCCCACCAAAGGGGGGCAUAUGUUGGUCGUAAGAAGAGGGUACUAUUGACUCCUGUUUGAGAAUACUGAAAAGGGACUGCUACUUAAAAUUUGAUGUUUCCAUCCAGCAUUAACUUUUCAGUAUCAGUGACACGAUGGGUCAGAUUUGAACAUGAUUAUUGCAAGCCAAGACAUUGUCAAUUACAUAUAGAAGCACAUGUCAUGUUGCUUUCCAUGUUCCCCGCAUAAUAUUACAUUGCUAAACUUAACUAUGCACUAAUGUUUUAGUAGUGACUUGUAGGUAUACAUAUUACCACCUUGUUGAGUUUGCUGCACCAGUCAUGUGCAAUUAACGUUCCGUAUCAUCACUUGUAAAAAAAAGGUUUAUGUUGGGGGCAUCUCCUCUGAUGUCUCUUAUGAUGAUCUCAAAAACUCUGCCAGUCUUUUGGACAAGUAGUGGAAGUGAUUACUCCUAGAUUUCUUUGUGCUAGCUUUUGUUUUUGCUUUCUUCUAAAUUCAGAGUUUUUUCUUUUCUUUUCUGUAGGUUGAACUCAUAGCUGAUCUUCAUGUUAUCCAUGCUAGCAAUGUAUUGCGUUUAUUCAUAUUUCUCUUUUAUAGUAGGGUGGGUAUAUGUGAUAAAGCAUGUAUUCGAUAAAGCAGAUCUUUCCAAGUAGGGAACUAAAUUGAAAAUUGUAUUUUAUGAACUUUAUGUUUAGUUUCAUGGAUCAGUUUGAGGCAUAGCUAAGUAUAAUUUAUAUGAUUACACUCACAUCCACUUGGUGUUUUUAAAAUGUUUGCAACGGUCCACUAUUGAGUUCGAAAUACUGAACCUCAAACUCCUUGUCAAGGUACACCUCGUGUAGCGAUUUUCUGACUUUCCUGAGUGAGGCGGCGCUAUUGGCUUUGGUAGGUCUUUCUCAUGAUCAUGUUGUUUGGGUCUGAAAAUGCUCUGAGUCGUAGUCUCGUAAUGUUAUAGUAACAAUAACAUCAUUUUUGUGAGGAUUUGUCUGAAAGGAGAACAACUCAACAUCAAUCUUGGUUAUCAACCAAGAGUCUAAACUCCUUUGUCAUGUGUUAUCGUUUCAAUCCUGAACUAUGCAUUGUUGUGGGUCUUGAAGAUCUGGUUACAAGCCUACAACUUAACUGAUAUAUAUCACAUGAUGAUGAUAAUAUGUAUAUUCAUGGUGACACCUUUGCUCUUUGAACAUGUUGUAGUCUAUUGUGUAGUUGCAAAAGAAUAUGUGAAUUACCAGUCAGUGGAGAUUGAGAGGGAUUCCCCGGCUAGAAGCUCAAGCGGAUUAGGAAGUGGCUCAUCUUCAUCCAGUGGUACAGUACAGUGGAGCAAAUGAGUAUCUAUCACCAUUAAUGCUGAGUUAUCGAUCAAGUAGCUCGUUAAUUCGUUAAAAUUCCUUGCAGAUUCUGACUCUGAUGUUACAGUUUAUUUUUUCAGUAACCAGAGGAUGACAAGCCUACUACAAGAGUUGGUCCUAAGUUAUAAAAUAAGCCUAACUUUUUUUACAGAGUACACAAAUGUCAGGUUUUCCUGUUUGGGCUAGCACCACAAAUGGAAACAAAAAAUUGGACUCAGCCCAUCGUGAAGAUAUGAAGGAAGAGCACUGUCCCAUUAUUCUGUUUUUCGAAGACCAUGUUUCUAGCAUGAACAUGCCAGCAUGGUGCCAUCAACAACUUCCCUGUUAGCUCACGGUACACCAUGCUCCAGCCUGUCCCCUGGUUAUCACUGUGGUGCUGAUUGUGUUCCCAAGAUGCACUGAAAUAGAGCAAGAUCAAAUGAGGAUGAAGUUACUGUGUAGAGAUUUUUGUUCCCCCUUUGUAGCAGCACCCAUGGAUUUUUAUUUGCACAGAAUUACUCUCUUUUACUGGUUCAUUCAAUAAUUCAAUUUGUUGCUUGGAAACCACUGUAUAAUAAAUACAAAUGCUAUGGUAUGAUUUUGUGAAUUCUGAUC